rnacentral:lncRNA from 1 species
CAAGUGUGCAAUAAAGCCUUCUACUGCAAGUCACAGCUUGCUGUCCAUCACAGGACCCAUACGGGGGAGAAGCCUUAUCAAUGUCAGGAAUGCAGGAAGGCAUUCCAGUGCAGGUCAGACCUCACUCGGCAUCUGAGAACUCAUACAGGCGAGAGGCCCUAUGGAUGUACGGAGUGCAGGAAGGCUUUCUACCGCAAGUCAGACCUCACAGUGCAUCAGAGGACACACACAGGCGAGAAGCCCUACGAAUGCAAAGAGUGCAGAAAAGCCUUCUACUGCAAUUCACAGCUCACUGUCCAUCAAAGACAGCACACAGGGGAGAAGCCUUAUGAGUGUAAAGACUGUGGGAAAGCCUUUCAGUGCAAAUAUGAACUCACUCGGCAUCACAGAAC